rnacentral:rRNA from 1 species
UACGUAGGCAGCAAGCGUUGUUCGGAGUUACUGGGCGUAAAGAGUGUGUAGGCUGUUCUCUAAGUUUGGUGUGAAAUCUCCCGGCUUAACUGGGAGGGUGCGCCGAAAACUGGAGGGCUUGAGUAUGGGAGAGGAAAGCGGAAUUCCUGGUGUAGCGGUGAAAUGCGUAGAUAUCAGGAGGAACACCGGUGGUGUAGACGGCUUUCUGGACCGUAACUGACGCUGAGACACGAAAGCGUGGGUAGCAAACAGGAUUAGAAACC